rnacentral:tRNA from 1 species
UAGCUUAGGGGUUAAGAGCACUGGCUGUUCUUCCAGAGGCUCUGGGUUCAAAUCCCAG